rnacentral:tRNA from 1 species
GUGUAGCUCAAUGGAAGAGUGCUUGACUAGUAUACAUGAGACCCUGGGUUUGAUCCCCAGCAC